GGUAGGGUGGCUGAGUUAAGCGGUGGAUUGUAGUCCCACACACGGAGGUUUAAGUCCUCCCCUUAUCA
rnacentral:tRNA from 1 species